GUCUGUGGCCAUACAACCCUGAACACACCGAUCUCAUCUGAUCUCGGAAGCUAAGCAGGGUUGGGCAUGCUUAGUUGUUGGAAGGGAGGAAGAUUGGUCUAUGGUCG
rnacentral:rRNA from 1 species